rnacentral:rRNA from 1 species
AGUGAACGCUGGCGGCAGGCCUAACACAUGCAAGUCGAGCGGCAGCGCGGUGGUAGCAAUACCACUGGCGGCGAGCGGCGGACGGGUGAGGAACACAUCGGAAUCUACCUUUUUGUGGGGGAUAACGUAGGGAAACUUACGCUAAUACCGCAUACGAGCGUGCAUCGACAGAUAUGCGCUGAAAGCGGGGGCCCAGCAAUGGCCUCGCGCGGAUUGAUGAGCCGAUGUCCGAUUAGCUAGUUGGGGGGAAGGGUACC